UAGUGGCGAACGGGUGAGUAACACGUGGGCAAUCUGCCCUUCACUCUGGGACAAGCCCUGGAAACGGGGUCUAAUACCGGAUACCACUCCUGCCUGCAUGGGCGGGGGUUGAAAGCUCCGGCGGUGAAGGAUGAGCCCGCGGCCUAUCAGCUUGUUGGUGGGGUAAUGGCCCACCAAGGCGACGACGGGUAGCCGGCCUGAGAGGGCGACCGGCCACACUGGGACUGAGACACGGCCCAGACUCCUACGGGAGGCAGCAGUGGGGAAUAUUGCACAAUGGGCGAAAGCCUGAUGCAGCGACGCCGCGUGAGGGAUGACGGCCUUCGGGUUGUAAACCUCUUUCAGCAGGGAAGAAGCGAAAGUGACGGUACCUGCAGAAGAAGCGCCGGCUAACUACGUGCCAGCAGCCGCGGUAAUACGUAGGGCGCAAGCGUUGUCCGGAAUUAUUGGGCGUAAAGAGCUCGUAGGCGGCUUGUCACGUCGGAUGUGAAAGCCCGAGGCUUAACCUCGGGUCUGCAUUCGAUACGGGCUAGCUAGAGUGUGGUAGGGGAGAUCGGAAUUCCUGGUGUAGCGGUGAAAUGCGCAGAUAUCAGGAGGAACACCGGUGGCGAAGGCGGAUCUCUGGGCCAUUACUGACGCUGAGGAGCGAAAGCGUGGGGAGCGAACAGGAUUAGAUACCCUGGUAGUCCACGCCGUAAACGUUG
rnacentral:rRNA from 1 species